rnacentral:rRNA from 1 species
GUUGAACCUCGGAUCAGGUAGGGAUACCCGCUGAACUUAAGCAUAUCAAUAAGCGGAGGAAAAGAACCAACAGGGAUUGCCUUAGUAACGGCGAGUGAAGCGGCAAUAGCUCAAAUUUGAAAGCUGGCGUCUUCGACGUCCGCGUUGUAAUUUGUAGAGGAUGCUUCGGUGAGGACUCCUGCCUAAGUCCCCUGGAACGGGGCGUCACAGAGGGUGAGAAUCCCGUAUGUGGCGGGCGCUCCAAGCCAUGUGAAGCUCCUUCGACGAGUCGAGUUGUUUGGGAAUGCAGCUCCAAAUGGGAGGUAAAUUUCUUCUAAAGCUAAAUAUUGGCCAGAGACCGAUAGCGCACAAGUAGAGUGAUCGAAAGAUGAAAAGCACUUUGGAAAGAGAGUUAAAAAGUACGUGAAAUUGUUGAAAGGGAAGCGCUUGCAACCAGACUCGCUCGCAGUUGCUCAGCCGGCCUCUUGGCCGGUGUACUCUCCUGCGAUCGGGCCAGCAUCAGUUCGGGCGGCCGGAUAAAGGUGCCGGGAACGUAGCACCCUUCGGGGUGUG